UCUUGCCCCCCCCCCCCACCCCCCCUCUCUCUGGCGUUUCUGCUUUUCCUCUCAUUUCUGUUCCUUAAACUAAGAAAAUUUUUUUAUGAAAGCGUAAGAGAUUCUGUAUUUGGUAAGAGAGUGAGAAUAUUCAUAUAUAUAGAAAAAGAGGAGGAGCUGGGUUGGGUUUGAAAGAAGGACAGAAAUGGAGGGAAAGAAACAAACGGGGUCCUCGUCUUCUUCUUUCACUUCUGACUUGUUUGGCUCGAAGGAGAACUCACCGUCCUCUAUGGGGAUUUUUGGCUCUAUUUUUGCACCUGCUUCCCCCAAGGUCUUAGGGAGAGAGUCAUUGCGCUUCGAAGUGGCUGAGAAAAAGCAGGAUUCCGCAGAUGACGCCUGGAAUACCAAAUCUGGAACUCCAGCUUCAGAUUUGACUUCCAAAAUGAAUGAAGGUGAAAGUCAGAGCGUACCAAACAAAGAUAUGAGUUCCAUUUAUCAGGAGCAAAGAGUACAACCGUGUCAUCUUAGUUCAUCAAUCUAUUAUGGGGGUCAAGAUAUCUAUCAUCAUCCUCAGACUGCACAUACCUCAAGCAUGAACCCAACGUUCAAAAAGGAUGGACCUGAAGAUGACACAGGCAGUGCUUCAAGAGGAAAUUGGUGGCAGGGGGGCCUCUAUUACUAAGAUCUCACGAGCCAUGGCAUAUAUAUAUAUUUAGGUAUUUGAUUCACUAAGACGCGUACUGCAUGUACUUUUUGUAACAGUUUGAUUCAUCAUUUCUCUGUAUACUUUACUUCAACCUAAUAUGUAUCGUAAUAACCUUACCUAGUUAGAUGGGUCUUAUUUGGAUAUUAGAUAUCGUGUAUCCUGAUAUAAUCUGGAUUGAGUUACUUAUUGUUGGGAAUAUAACAUGCUUCUUAGAUAUUUGUCCGGGCUGCAUUAUUUUGGAGUUUCAUUACUUUGUUUAUAGAUUAAAGUUUUGUGCUCUCAGUUUCACCCCAACUUCCCAUUUUUGGCAUUUAACCUUUUAAAUUUAGUCACUUAAUGUGGUUAAACUAUUAUUGGAUUGAAAUAAUUCCAUUUAAAAGUUGUCUGAAAUGUAGUAAAUAUAUUUCAUGCCCAUUGAGUUGUUUUUCAUCUAAUCGUUUACCAUAUAUGUUUUACCUUUUGGUUAUGAGAGACAUUUCGCAUCUUAGCCACAACAUCGCCCUUAGAAGAGAAUACGCCAUCUGGUAUGAGUUGAAAAUAUGUAUAAAGGCAAGUUAUAGGGUAGUAGUUUAAUCUACCUUUUGUUAUAUGGAAUAGGAAAUAUCAGUCAGCGUGUAGCGCAAAGCUGAUUAUUGUAAAUUCACCAGCCAUGGAACAACACACACACACACACACACAUAUAUAUAUGACAAGGCUAUAUGGCGCUUUUUUUUUUCUUUUGCUGUAAGGCAGAUGCAUGGUUUACUUGGUCCUUUUGCAAUAAAAGUACUUGGUUUAGAAGCUUUUUCUA